rnacentral:rRNA from 1 species
AGAGUUUGAUCCUGGCUCAGGACGAACGCUGGCGGCGUGCCUAAUACAUGCAAGUCGAACGCUUCUUUUUCCACCGGAGCUUGCUCCACCGGAAAAAGAGGAGUGGCGAACGGGUGAGUAACACGUGGGUAACCUGCCCAUCAGAAGGGGAUAACACUUGGAAACAGGUGCUAAUACCGUAUAACAAUCGAAACCGCAUGGUUUUGAUUUGAAAGGCGCUUUCGGGUGUCGCUGAUGGAUGGACCCGCGGUGCAUUAGCUAGUUGGUGAGGUAACGGCUCACCAAGGCCACGAUGCAUAGCCGACCUGAGAGGGUGAUCGGCCACAUUGGGACUGAGACACGGCCCAAACUCCUACGGGAGGCAGCAGUAGGGAAUCUUCGGCAAUGGACGAAAGUCUGACCGAGCAACGCCGCGUGAGUGAAGAAGGUUUUCGGAUCGUAAAACUCUGUUGUUAGAGAAGAACAAGGAUGAGAGUAACUGUUCAUCCCUUGACGGUAUCUAACCAGAAAGCCACGGCUAACUACGUGCCAGCAGCCGCGGUAAUACGUAGGUGGCAAGCGUUGUCCGGAUUUAUUGGGCGUAAAGCGAGCGCAGGCGGUUUCUUAAGUCUGAUGUGAAAGCCCCCGGCUCAACCGGGGAGGGUCAUUGGAAACUGGGAGACUUGAGUGCAGAAGAGGAGAGUGGAAUUCCAUGUGUAGCGGUGAAAUGCGUAGAUAUAUGGAGGAACACCAGUGGCGAAGGCGGCUCUCUGGUCUGUAACUGACGCUGAGGCUCGAAAGCGUGGGGAGCAAACAGGAUUAGAUACCCUGGUAGUCCACGCCGUAAACGAUGAGUGCUAAGUGUUGGAGGGUUUCCGCCCUUCAGUGCUGCAGCUAACGCAUUAAGCACUCCGCCUGGGGAGUACGACCGCAAGGUUGAAACUCAAAGGAAUUGACGGGGGCCCGCACAAGCGGUGGAGCAUGUGGUUUAAUUCGAAGCAACGCGAAGAACCUUACCAGGUCUUGACAUCCUUUGACCACUCUAGAGAUAGAGCUUCCCCUUCGGGGGCAAAGUGACAGGU